UUGCUAGGCCAAGAGACUGAAGUCCUCCCAUUUUUUCACAGAACAGGUAGAACAUGGACAACAGCAAUUCAAGUUUUCCCCACACUGUCCUGCCAAUAUGCCUCGACCCUCACCUGGGGGGGCCACCUCUGGGGUGAGAGGGGUAGUUCAUCUAUGGCUCAUUCAUUCAGUCCCUGGC
rnacentral:sRNA from 1 species